rnacentral:miRNA from 1 species
CUUUUAAAAAAAUCUACUAAUACC